rnacentral:rRNA from 1 species
GACAGAGGAGCCAAGCGUUGUCCGGAUUGACUGGGCGUAAAGCGCACGCAGGCGGAACGGCGCGUGGGGUGUGAAAGCUGGCGGCUUAACUGCCAGUCGCCAUCCCAUACGGCCAUUCUGGAGCCUUGCAGAGGGCAGUGGAAUUGCCGGUGUAGUGGUGAAAUGCGUAGAGAUCGGCAGGAACACCCAGGGGGAAACCAGCUGCCUGGGCAAGCGCGGACGCUGAGGUGCGAGAGCGUGGGGAGAGAACCGG